AUAUUGGAGUAGAGAUAUGCUAGAGUGCAAUGACAUCGCAAUCACAAUGAUUAAGUUUCGUCGCCUCCAAAUCGUAUUAAUUAUACGCCAUGGUAACCACACUCCCAAAACCAAACUAGCUAACACUCCAUUUCAGAGUGCCAUUCACCAAAAGGUGGGCAGCUAAUGCUUAAUUAUGGACUGUGGCCAUAAAUAUGCAGACGAAGACAUAGUUAUUUGCCAGCCUGAGUACAUUUCGUUGCUUGGAUCGAUCGAAGGAGGCGAAACGGAGCAAAAGACGCCGAGGCAUCAGCAGAUGAAACGAGAAUCCCCCAGAGAACUGCGCUCGCUAAGCAGCGUGUCGAAAGCGAAAUGAAAAUUCAUUUGUAGUCACACCCAAUCGUGGAAUCCUACUUUUCUGUCCAUGCCGCUGACGUUGCAAGGGGGAUGACAAUUGAAAUGGCAGAACAUAGAACACACAGAGGGUAAAAGAGAGAAAGAGAGAGCGGUCCAAUACAAAAGUAUACAAAAAUGUAUUUUCAAGUAUUAAAUAAAUUAAAUGAAUUUAAGCACGUGUAGCAAAUGACAUCAAAACAUACACCCAGAGAGCAAGAGAAAGAGAAAGAGGGAGAGUCAACUGAAGAGCAAAAGAAGAAGAUACGGACAAUGUGAAUCAGAGACCAACCCUCAAAUUAGUUCGGGAUCAUAAGAAUACGUUUGUUAGCUGCUGAGUGCUGUAGCGUUGUGGUUUGGGAAAAGUAUCUUCAAUUGAAGGAAGAGUUUGCUGACAUACAACAGUUAUAGAGACUGGGAAGCCAAGUGGACACAAGUUUAUGUUUAAUAAUAAGCCAAACUCAUAAUUGCAUUUGAUGACACCUUCAAAGCAAAUCCUUGUUAUCCCUCGCCUAAUACAAAUACACCCCCAGGACAGGAUAAGAACUGCGAAAACAUCAAUUUGGUAUCAUUGAAAUGCAGCCAACCGCACCGUUGCUAAUUGACACCUAAACUGCAAUCAAAGCGACAACGGCCAAGCCCAUUUUUCAACGCCAAUGCACAAGCAUGACACCAACAACAUACACACAUACACACACACACCCAACCACACACAUUCGCUGGCAUAUGCUUUGAAAAUCCCUGCGAAAUGCGGCAAAAACUAACGCAAAAGCAACCCAAAAAUAAAGUGGAGAGUGGCGAAAGUUGAACGGCGAACGGAAAGCAGUCCUUAAACGUACCCUCAACGCCCUUGUCAUGGCGUAAAAUUGCAUGCAAAAGGCGUUUUAAUAGCUUGGCAUUUUUCGCAGCUAUCAUUGCCAUAUGAAUGUCAACCCCCCUCUGAGAAACCAGAACCUACUACUCAACUGCCUGGCCAGGGGUAGUUUGAGUCGAGUGGAGUGGAGUGGAGUGGAGUGGAGUAAGGGCUUGCGGCACAAUAUCAAAUUGAAAUUUUCCACUUUGUUUAAUUUGUUAAGCCUUGAUUAAUGGCAUUUUCAUUGUAUUGCACUCCAGUUGAAUUUGUGUCGUCGUCAGCCAUUUGCAGCUACACGAUUCUAGUAUUCAUUACAGAUUAAUGGACUGCACAACAAAA